rnacentral:rRNA from 1 species
UACGUAGGGUGCAAGCGUUGUCCGGAAUUAUUGGGCGUAAAGAGCUCGUAGGCGGUCUGUCGCGUCUGCUGUGAAAACUCAGGGCUUAACCCUGAGCUUGCAGUGGGUACGGGCAGACUAGAGUGCGGUAGGGGGAGACUGGAAUUCCUGGUGUAGCGGUGAAAUGCGCAGAUAUCAGGAGGAACACCGGUGGCGAAGGCGGGUCUCUGGGCCGUAACUGACGCUGGAGGCGACGAAAGCGUGGGGAGCAAACAGG